rnacentral:lncRNA from 1 species
GAGAGCGGGAGCUGCGGGGGCAGGACCCGAACCCGCCGCAGCCCCGGCUCGCGUUCUGCUCCACACCGAGACUCCCGAGAAUUCCCGGGAAGGCGGCGAGGGCAGGAGAGCAUCCCCAGCUCCCCCUGCCCUCCCCGCAGUGCCCGGAGGAGCAGAACAUCCCCGUUCCCCCUUGCCGGGGAGCCCAGAGCGAUGCUUUAUCGCGCCGCUGCGAGAGCCAGACGGAAAGGUUGCGGCAAAGAUUUCAACCCUGAAUACCCUUUCCCUAGCUUGGAAGGCACAGUGUGAGCUCAGAGAGGGAAGCUCAGAGUCACUUCCAUGAAGAAACAUCUCCAUGGAGAAGGGAAAUUCAAGCAUCAUUCGCUGGAGGACUCAAGCACCAUUCUCCAAGGGGAGGAGCACAAAUGCCCUCAAAAGUGGUUAAAUAUAAACCAGUGAUUAAAUAAUAUUAGCAUAUUAGCUAUUCCUUCAUGUGGGGACUCCACAUCCCCAAGUGAUGCUCUCCUCCUAAAACUGUCAAAUCCCUCAUAGUCUCUGCCUGAUUCUGUGGGGAUGCUGCUAUUUACACAGGAGCAGAGUAACCUCCAUCCCUGUGGGAUGUGCUCCAAUAGCUGCACACUGUCCAGCAGGAUGGAAAAAUGUGUUUCAGUCUCUUUCUGCAGCAAACCCACAAUUGAGCUCCACUCAGUAAUAUUUUAGCAAGCCACCUUCAGCCUGGAAUCCAGAUAGCCACAGGCCAGUUUGGGCCAGUUCCAGGCUCAUGGGGGACCUGGACACUGGGGCAGUGUCUGAGCCAGCCCCAAACAUCCACCCAGCAAUCCUGGAAUUCUCUCUCAGCUCUGACACUGACCCAAAGUGCUGGUCACCAGCUGAGACCCAGUGCACCUGUUACUGAAUAAAAUUUGCAUACUUUGGGAUCA